rnacentral:rRNA from 1 species
UGAUACCUACGGGGCGCAGCAGUGAGGAAUAUUGGUCAAUGGGCGAGAGCCUGAACCAGCCAAGUCGCGUGAAGGAUGACGGCCCUACGGGUUGUAAACUUCUUUUGUCAGGGAGCAAUUGGGUCCACGCGUGGGCUUAGCGAGAGUACCUGAAGAAAAAGCAUCGGCUAACUCCGUGCCAGCAGCCGCGGUAAUACGGGGGGUGCAAGCGUUGUCCGGAAUCAUUGGGCGUAAAGCGUUCGUAGGCGGCAAGGUAAGUCUGAUGUUAAAGCCCGG